GGAGAUGGCUCAGUGGUUAAGAGCACUGGAUGCUCUUCCAGAGGACCUAGGUUGGAACCCCAGCAUCUCCA
rnacentral:tRNA from 1 species